rnacentral:misc_RNA from 1 species
GGGGCCAACGGUGGAUACUCCUUACCAAAGCCUGAUGUAGGUAAUGUGCAGUGUCCACAACAAAUUGUCUGAUGAAAAAUAAUGAGCAAGCGCACCUGUUGAUGUAAUGAGUGCUGGACUCAUGCUGAUGCGGAACGAUUAAGCCUGAGGUUUAGUCGGAUUUCGUGUCCCCAUCGUCUGGACGCCUAGGACACUGCCCUUUCCCGGGUGUAACAGGGGUUCGAAUCCCCUUGGGGACUCCAUGCCUAUAAUGAGUGAAAGACAUUAUCACCGAAUAUCUUGAAGAUGACUUUACCGAGUCUUGUUUAAGAUAUUGCUCUUUAACAAUCUGGAACAAGCUGAAAUUUGAAACUAUGCGGAUAAACAUAUCUCUCCUUGCAUGACUGAGAUGCGAUUUGGUUGUCUCAGAGUCUCUCAAAUAAUCGCAGCGCGAAAGACACUUAGAGACCUUCGGGUUGAGAGGGUAAGCGACUAAGGGGGAUGCCUGGACACCUUGGCAUGC